AGCUCAUCCAGAGGGGCAGAGGGAAACGGCCCGAUGAAGCCCCGGCAACCCUCCAGUCGGUACUCGUAGACCAGACCAGAUCUGAUCGUCUCCGCGAGGCUCCCGGCUAGGGAAGGUGCCAAAUCCGUCUCACGGCGAAGUGCGUCGUGAGGAAGAUGAGGA
rnacentral:ncRNA from 2 species